UCGAACGCACAGCGAAAGGUGCUUGCACCUUUCAAGUGAGUGGCGAACGGGUGAGUAACACGUGGACAACCUGCCUCAAGGCUGGGGAUAACAUUUGGAAACAGAUGCUAAUACCGAAUGAAACUUAGUGUCGCAUGACACGAAGUUAAAAGGCGCUUUGGCGUCACCUAGAGAUGGAUCCGCGGUGCAUUAGUUAGUUGGUGGGGUAAAGGCCUACCAAGACAAUGAUGCAUAGCCGAGUUGAGAGACUGAUCGGCCACAUUGGGACUGAGACACGGCCCAAACUCCUACGGGAGGCUGCAGUAGGGAAUCUUCCACAAUGGGCGAAAGCCUGAUGGAGCAACGCCGCGUGUGUGAUGAAGGCUUUCGGGUCGUAAAGCACUGUUGUAUGGGAAGAACAGCUAGAAUAGGGAAUGAUUUUAGUUUGACGGUACCAUACCAGAAAGGGACGGCUAAAUACGUGCCAGCAGCCGCGGUAAUACGUAUGUCCCGAGCGUUAUCCGGAUUUAUUGGGCGUAAAGCGAGCGCAGACGGUUGAUUAAGUCUGAUGUGAAAGCCCGGAGCUCAACUCCGGAAUGGCAUUGGAAACUGGUUAACUUGAGUGCAGUAGAGGUAAGUGGAACUCCAUGUGUAGCGGUGGAAUGCGUAGAUAUAUGGAAGAACACCAGUGGCGAAGGCGGCUUACUGGACUGUAACUGACGUUGAGGCUCGAAAGUGUGGGUAGCAAACAGGAUUAGAUACCCUGGUAGUCCACACCGUAAACGAUGAACACUAGGUGUUAGGAGGUUU
rnacentral:rRNA from 1 species